rnacentral:lncRNA from 1 species
CUUCUUGCAAAAGAAGCACUCUGUCUAACUUUGAUCAGUCUUGAACUUGGAUUUCUAGGACUGACUCCCAGCACUAGGCACCUUCUUAUUCUUCUUCCUUUUUCCUUUCUUAAAGGGACGAUGACUAUCCGAAAAAGAUCCUCCUACUAGAUUCACUGUCUCUUUGUGGAGCUAGUGAUCUUUCUCAAAAAUCUAUAGCAAUCCCAAC